rnacentral:lncRNA from 1 species
GCGCACCCUUUUGUCAAAUGCCUUCUUCAUUCUUCUUUGGUACAGCUGUCCGUGGCACACAACUGUUAACCUUUUUUCCUCAAUGAGAUUGAGCUGGUCGAAUCGAGCUUGAACCCAUUCAACUUCUUCUAAUUGGGUUUCCAUUAGUACUCGUAAGGAUGGGAUUUCCACUUCAAACAGAAGUACCGCCUCCAUUCCAUACACAAGCGAGAAAGGAGUUGCCC